rnacentral:rRNA from 1 species
UACGUAGGGGGCAAGCGUUGUCCGGAUUUAUUGGGCGUAAAGAGCGUGUAGGCGGCCAGGUAGGUCCGUUGUGAAAACUCGAGGCUCAACCUCGAGACGUCGGCGGAAACCCUCUGGCUAGAGUCCGGAAGAGGAGAGUGGAAUUCCUGGUGUGAGCGGUGAAAUGCACAGAUAUCAGGAAGAACACCCGUGGCGAAGGCGGCUCUCUGGGACGGUACUGACGCUGAGACGGCGAAAGCGUGGGGAGCAAAC